AAGUUGGCUAGUCAUGUAGGUGGAAGCUGUAGGAGUUGUGAUAGACAGUGUAUUACAACAUCUUGCCACUUCUUGACUUCUCUGUAUUUUUAACAACUGUAGUAGCAAUGCCUUAAAUUUUUUAAUUUUCUGUCCCCCCGUCAUAGCUUCCCAAGAACUAACUUUUGUUCAUUAAUUCUCAAGCUAUGUGGGAUAAGCAAUGGAGAAGGGAUGGGAAGAAGACGAGGAAAAAGAGAAACCUUGAAAUGUCAACUUGAUUUUGUUAGCAUUACCCUCCACGUGCAGAGUCAGCCCAGAUAUUUUGCUUCUCCACAUGGUGAUAUUUCUCAAAUGAUCUUGCCUGUAAACUUGAACCCUGUAUAGCUAUUUCUUUCUAAAUUUUUUUUCUCAGUACCUUUUAGUAAAGGCCUGUUGUAAAUCGGCUUUGCAUUAGUUAUGCUUAUGAAAAAAUAAUGAUGGCUUUGAGGAGAGUAAUGCCUUUUUUUUUCUUAAAAUUCUAUUUCUUUUUUCCUAUUCAUGUACUUCAGUGGGUUGAAUGGAUAUUUGCUCAUAAUAAACUAUAGAAAUAUUUCACUUCCAGAUCUUUUGAGUGAUAGUAUUCCAUAAUUCCUCCCUCAGUUUCUGUCUUAUUUCCUGAGCUAGAUAGUGUUUGGAAAGUGUGUGUGGUACACAAGGUAAGCUCUCAGUAAACACUAGUGAUGUAGCCACAUUAAUAAGUCCUCUAACACUGGAGGAUGUACCUGGCUUUGUGUGUCUCACUAGUGUCAGUCCCCAGCUAUAUAAACUUUCAUAGUUCCUUACACUUUCUGGACCUUAGACUGCUCAUAGGAAUUCAAAGCUCCUGCCUUGCCUAUCUUACAAAGGCUUAUGUGGAUUAAAUUAUUUAAUGGCCAUGAACAAAUUUAGACCAAUAAAGUGCCAUAUGAAUUUAAGGAAGAGAGUGAUUGAGUACUUCUAACUAAACUAAGGUGACGGUUAUUGUUUAAAAGCUUCCGGGAGUUCCCAUUGUGACAUAGCAAUAAGGACCUGACUAGUAUCCAUGAGGAUGUGGGUUCAAUACCUGGCCUUGCUUAGUGAGUUAAGGAUCUAGUAUUGCUGUGACUGUGGUGUAGGUCACAGAUGAGGUUUGAAUCCUGCAUUGCUGCAGCUGUGGCAUAAGCAGGCAGCUGCAGCUCCUAUUUGACCCCUAGCCUGGGAACUUCCGUAUGCCAUACAUGUGACUCAAAAAGCAGAAAUAAAUAAAUAAAAGCUUUCUUGUUUCAGGUCACUGAGUGGAAUAAAUGGGUAUCUGUGAAUCUUACAUAAUCAUCUCUGUUGGUGUUAAGACAGUUUACAAGUAAAUUAAGACAACAGCCAGGCCAGGCAAGAACUAAGAAUGAUGACAUAGAUGACAGUAGCCUCUCAUUUAUUUGAAAAAUUUUUAUCGCGCUCAUCCUAAGACACACAAAUGGUUUAGUAAAACAUUUUUAGAUAUUGAAGCCUUAAACAACUGGACUGUGUGUGACACAUAGGAUGCUUACUAUUAAAGACUGGAUAUUGAAUUGGUCUCGGAGAACUCUAUACUGAAGUUGCAUAACAGUUUUCUUCUAUGUCCUUAAUUCUACUUGAUAGAUUAAACUAGGAGACUUUUAGAAGUUUUCUAUAGAGAAAGCUGGAUACAGAAAUGUAAUAUAACCAGAUACAUAAAGUUUGGAAUAUUGAUCCUUUAAAAAAAACAUAAAUAAAGCUUUCUAAAGCAAUAUUGCAUAGUUCUCCAAUAAACUCUUUUGGUAGCUUUCAUGAGAAUAUCUGACUGGCUUCUUUCAAAGUAAUAGCAAUAUUAGAAGUUGAGGAAGAAUGUGACCUAUCUCUAGGCUAGAGAACCAGGAGAUCAGAUUCUGCAGAAGAGCCAUGGAGGAAAAGAGUACAUAUAAAUAGGUUUUGAGAAUGGAAAAUAUGAAUCAUUCUCUACAUGGAGCAACUCAAUUUGCCACAUUUUAACUAAUUUUAUUUUAUUUUUUAAAAUAUACCUAAAACAUACCCUUGGUGGAUUCAUGGUUUGCUUUCUGUUAAGUCAGUAUUUGUCUCUUAGAAUUAUAAUUGAUCAGUUUUAUCCAUUAAUGCUUAUCUUGUUCUGUGUCAUCUUUCUCCUAAUUGCCACACAUAUGUUAUGGGUAGGUCGAGUCAUUAAUUCUAAUUUUUCUGUAUGCUUAUGAUGCUUUUAGGCUUCCAUGAGUAGGAUAUAUAGGAAGGAAAUUUGAAGUAUUGUUAUCAGAAAACUGACGAGAGGAUAAUAGGCAGGUAAAAAUGAGAAAUCUGGCUAGCAUCCAUGAGGACGCAGGUUCGAUCCCUGGCCUUGCUCAGUGGGUUAAGGAUCUGGUGUUUCUGUCAGCUGUUGCGCAGGUCACCCAUGUGGCGCGGAUCCUGAGUAGCUGUGGCUGUGGUAUAGGCAAGCAGCUAUGGCUCUGAUUCGACCCCUAGCCUGGGAACCUUCAAAUGCUGCAGGCAUGGC
ensembl:lncRNA